CACAACACGUGGGAAUUGUACACUGUUAUGGGAUCCUGAAUCUAAGUGACUUACCUCACCUCACGUAGAGACCUCCUGGGAAAGCAAAGCACACCGAACCUGCAAGUCCAAAAUGAUAUUCCAUCCCUCCCCCCAAAAAGCCUGCCUCUGUUAACUAAUUGAUUUAUAAAACCACAAGUAUGGCAAAUGACCCAGAGCACAUUCCACACUGCAAAAUAAGGAAGCGUGCAGCCAGUCUGCUGCAAGGUGAGGAUGCGGAGCAGAAGCGUAAAGAUUCUUCCAGCAGAACAGGAUCACUGCAGGAGCACCUCGUACUGACAGAGUUAAAAAAAAAAAAACAAAUAGACACUAAAAAGACAUCUGUCAGGUAGCUAACGCUCAAUAUUAAAAAAUUAUUUGUGCCAUGGAAAGUAUCUUGGAAAUACAAGGGCUUUCUGUGUGAACACUUACACACCGAUACGGAUAGAUGUUACUGAAAACCCAGAUAACCCUGGCGCUGAGGCUACAGGGCGCAUGCCCCACGUAUACUGCUAUGUAAUAGUUUACUGCGAUAAUUACGCUAGUUAUUAUAUUUAUGACUACAUUUCCCUGGGAGACUGGAAAUGCAACAUUCCAAGUAAAGGCUCCACAAUUAAUUUUUUUUUUGGGGGUGGACAAAACAAAGCCAGCACAUUCUGGAUUAAGAUGACUGAGGGCACUAACCCCAAAUCAAUCUGCUUACAUAAAAACAAAGCAACAAGUUCAAGAUGGAUCCUAACAUAGCAAACCCAGCAGUCUAGCAACGAACCAUGAGAAAAAUUGACCAAAAAAAAAAAAAAGAAAAACUUUCUUCAGAUAGCUUUCCCUUAGUUCAGAAGCCUUCUGUCUCACUGAAUGGGAUUUUUUUUUUAUGAGACAGAUUGCGAAAGUGUGCUGUAACAGGUUUCUUUGCUGAAUUUCAGCUCUACAUUGAAAGAAGGAGGAUUUCACACACGUGAAAAGGGACAGGUUUCGUACGAAACACACCAGUGUCCUGCCUGAACACUUCCAGUGCGCUGCUGCAGUCUUUCACAACCACAACUGAACUGUCCUUAGUUUACAGUAGUGGCACAGAAAAUAGUGUCAAAACACCGUAUUCCUAUAAGCAGUGCUUACAGCAGGUCAGUUUCUCCAAAAACCACAACACUGAGCUCCAGAAUACCUUCAGGUGGCGAUACAGUUCAGUGCCCUAUUGCCUUUCUUUUCCCUCUCUGAUAUUGCUAAAGAUUAGGUCACUGGAUGUACAAGUAUGAAGCCAAAGCUUCUGUACAUGGUACUUUUGUUUGUGGAGCGAUAUAAGAAGUAGCCCUUUCAAUGAUUAACUUUGCCUUCAAGCCAAAGAGUUUCUAAUAAGCCACCUCGGAGGGUCACCGCUCAGCACCUACUGCAAUGCUUCGAUUGAGAAACUCGACAUCCGAGCUGCUUUACUGUGCUCAGUCUAAACAGAGACUGCUAACUCAGAGAGCUCAUUGUCCCCCAUCAUUUUUGCCCAUUCUUUAACCAUAAACUUGAAAACGAGUUUUAUUCUAAAGCCCUCGCAUUUCUGUGCUCAUUGGACAGUUCUGUAUUUAAUUGGCUUGAACUUCUGGGCAAGUAUCUGUUUUUUCAACCAGAAAAACAAAAAGCUGAUUGUAUUUUCAUGGAUUUGAAUCAGAAUCAUUAUCAUCUUAGACUAGAAAAGACGUAUUAUCCCAGGAAACCCUAUUCUGAGGGAUGUGCUACAAGGCUUGGUUGAGUAGAGCAAGACUACCCCAAGGAAUAUUCUCCUGAGCAACUUUUGCAGUAUCAGCUCCCAGCAUGAAUGUGACCCAGACUCCUAUGGAAGUAUCACCGCUAGCAGCAUGUGCACUUGGAGUCUAACUCCACCAAAUAACGCAGGUUAUCAGUGACAAACAGGCAGCACAGAUGAGGUGGUUUUUCUGGAAGGAGAUCAAACUUCCCAUGGCCCAGGC